rnacentral:piRNA from 1 species
CCUUAGGGCAGAGAAGGCUGGAG